rnacentral:rRNA from 1 species
UACGGGGGGGGCAAGCGUUGUUCGGAAUUACUGGGCGUAAAGGGCUCGUAGGCGGCCAACUAAGUCAGACGUGAAAUCCCCAGGCUCAACCUGGGAACUGCGUCUGAUACUGGCAGGCUCGAGGACGGUUGGGGUGAGUGGAACUCCAGGUGGAGCGGUGAAAUGCGUAGAUAUCUGGAGGAACACCGGUGGCGAAAGCGGCUCACUGGACCGUAACUGACGCUGAUGUGCGAAAGCUAGGGGAGCAAACGGG